AAAGUCGUAAUGAUGUCUUUCUUUGCUGUCCUUUUGAACCAAUAUGGCAGUAUCAUCAAAUGAAUCUUCGUUAGAGCAAGUCAAAUCUUCUGUUCCAGCUAGAACACAUUCUUCCUCAGUUGUUAUGGGAAGAAUCAUAUUCUCCAAUGAUAAAUAUCCUUGUAGCUUGGUAGCAGCAAAACCUGGUUUAUUUGGAAAGUUGAUCCAUGACCAGUGAGGAAACCCUAGAUCAAAGUUGUUCCAUAUCUCAGAAAAAGUAGAAGCAGCAUUGUGAAAUUGAGUGGAGGUAAU
rnacentral:misc_RNA from 1 species